GUCCCUGUAGCGCAAUGGAUAGCGCGUUGGACCUUUAAAUCCAAAGGUCGUGGGUUUGAAUUCCACCUAGGAUG